AGUGUAACCUCAAUCGGUUUUUGCAGCUUCUGGGUCCCGUGUAGAACGAUUUUUUGUUCUUUUCCAACUCGAUUUUUAACUCCCUAAACUAGUAGGAUGUUCCAACGGGUGAAGCAACAGUGCUGACGGCAGUUUCAGUGUCAAGUUUUCAUGCCAUGACCACUGGGUCGGAAACCAUUAUGACAUUGCCUUGGACAUCAAACUAAACCAUCUCAUUCUGGCUUUUGAGGUGGAUUCUAACCUCGAAAUCUCAGAAGGACAGGUCUAAGAUGGACGCAGCCUCCAUAGGAUGCAACCUUGCAUUUGAGAAACACCCAUAGAACGGAGAAAGUCAUGGUGUUCUGCUGCUAAGGUUGUCAUAAACGUCUUUUAUUCUGCUUACCUGACUCAUGCAGAAUUCUGGCUUGAUGUUUGGUCCACCUGUUAGCUGGCUCUGGUGCUUGGUAGUCUUCUCAAACCUCUGAAUCAAGACCACCAUGAGAGGCCUUCUGAAGACCAUCAUUACGCUUCAGAUCCAGUUGUCUUUACUUUGAGCCUACCACAAUCCCUGUGCACCAGCUAUGGAAAGUGCAGACCAAACUUCUACCUCCACCUAUAGAACUGAACUGGAGUCUAUGAACUAAUGCUGUGUUCGAGACAACUUGGAUGUUGGAUAUUAUUGACCUUAAACCCGUAAGAAGUCAGGAACAGGAAACAAAGUGGAGUAUCCGACCUCUCAACUUGGACCAGAUCGAUCAACACCGACCUCAACGAGAUGCGUCAUUUGACAUUGCAGACAAGAUCCUUUCUCUUUUUAAUGCAGCACUUAAGGAUGAACCACCCUGAUGAUCUACUAAGAUGCACAGAUUCAACUCUGGCCCAGCAUCAUCCCCAUACCUCAUCUGCCAUCAGUUCAAUUUAAUGUCUGUCAAUUGCAAAUGGUAUUUAUUUCAGUUAUAUUACAACUUAAUAUUAAAGAAAUAGUCUACCCUUUUGCCAUAUUAAACUAUGUUAUUACCUCAACCUAGAUGAAUUAAUACAUACCUAUCUUUUUUCAAUGCGUGCACCGUACAGCGCGUUGUGAAUGUGUUAGCAUUUAGCCUAGCCCCUUUCAUUCCUAUGGUACCAAAAAAGUUUUAUUUUGUGGCACCAUACUUACUGGUAUAACUCCUCAUGUAACCGUCUUAAAAUAGGGAAAACACGAAAGUGUUUGGUGGCUUCCCUGUUUGGUACCAUAGGAAUGAAUGGGGCUAGGCUAAAUGCUAACACAUUCACGACGCGCUGUACAGUGCACAAUAGAUAUGUAUUAAUUCGUCUAAGUUGAGGUAAUAACAUAGUUUAAUAUGGCAAAAGGGUAGACUAUUCCUUUAACUUUAAUUGAGACUAGUAUUGUGUAAAGCUGGGGUUUCCAAACUUCUCAUUUCAAAACCUAUUAGACAACUGUAAUCUAUUCUAGACCCACUAAAAUAUUUUUAAAUAUACAUUUUUUAAUGGGGUAAAACACAUUUGUUCUCUUUCAGUGGAGUCAUUUUAUUUUCAUAAUAUUUCAUAAUGUAAAGUAAAUAUAAGUUUAUUUGCAAUACCAAAUAUUUUAUGGUAUAUUCUUUCAAAACCAUUGUCAUUGUUAAUUAUUAGUUUGGCCAAACUGUUGUUGCAUCAUUACGGUGUGCAACACACCUUAACCUACUGUGUGACGGACAAGUAGGUCCUCCUGACACACAAUUUAAAAUCCCCUGGUGUACCGAAUGUUGUAUUGUAAUUAAAGUUGCAUCUAAGUCUUGUGUAA